rnacentral:tRNA from 1 species
GGGUAUUUAGCUCAGUGGUAGAGCGCUUGCCUAGCAAGCACAAGGCCCUGGGUUCAGUCCCCAGCUCU